GGGCGUGUGGCUCAGUUGGUAGAGCGUUCGCUUAGCAUGUUCAUUCGACGAUGUGCGAAAGGUCCUGGGUUCGAUUCCCAGCCCGUCCA